rnacentral:pre_miRNA from 1 species
AAAGUACUCCCUCCGUUUGGAAUUACUUGUCUCGAAAAUGGAUGUAUCUAGAACUAAAAUAUAUCUAGAUACAUCCAUUUUCGCGACAAGUAAUUCCAAACGGAGGGAGUAGUUG